GUAGGGUGCAAGCGUUAAUCGGAAUUACUGGGCGUAAAGCGUGCGCAGGCGGUUUUGUAAGUCUGUCGUGAAAUCCCCGGGCUCAACCUGGGAAUGGCGAUGGAGACUGCAAGGCUAGAGUUUGGCAGAGGGGGGUAGAAUUCCACGUGUAGCAGUGAAAUGCGUAGAUAUGUGGAGGAACACCGAUGGCGAAGGCAGCCCCCUGGGUCAAAACUGACGCUCAUGCACGAAAGCGUGGGGAGCAAACAGGAUUAGAUACCCUGGUAGUCCACGCCCUAAACGAUGUCUACUAGUUGUCGGGUCUUAAUUGACUUGGUAACGCAGCUAACGCGUGAAGUAGACCGCCUGGGGAGUACGGUCGCAAGAUUA
rnacentral:rRNA from 1 species